rnacentral:rRNA from 1 species
GAGGGUGACAGGUGGUGCAUGGUUGUCGUCAGCUCGUGUCGUGAGAUGUUGGGUUAAGUCCCGCAACGAGCGCAACCCUCGACCUUAGUUGCCAGCAUUCAGUUGGGCACUCUAAGGUGACUGCCGGCUAAAAGUCGGAGGAAGGUGGGGAUGACGUCAAAUCAUCAUGCCCCUUAUGACCUGGGCUACACACGUGCUACAAUGGGCGGUACAAAGGGUCGCGAACCCGCGAGGGGGAGCCAAUUCCAAAAAGCCGCUCUCAGUUCGGAUUGCAGGCUGCAACUCGCCUGCAUGAAGCCGGAAUCGCUAGUAAUCGCGGAUCAGCAUGCCGCGGUGAAUACGUUCCCGGGCCUU